GAGGGUGUAGCUCAGUGGUAGAGUGUGUGCUUAGCACGCACCAGAUCCUGGGUUCAAUCCCUAGUACCUCCA
rnacentral:tRNA from 1 species